UACAGAGGUCUCAAGCGUUGUUCGGAUUCAUUGGGCGUAAAGGGUGCGUAGGCGGCGCGGUAAGUCGGGUGUGAAAUCUCGGGGCUCAACCUCGAGCCUGCAUUCGAUACUGGGCGGCUAGAGUCUGGUAGGGGGAUCUGGAAUUCCUGGUGUAGCGGUGGAAUGCGCAGAUAUCAGGAGGAACACCGGUGGCGAAGGCGGGAUCCUGGGCCAGUACUGACGCUGAGGAGCGAAAGCGUGGGGAGCAAACAGG
rnacentral:rRNA from 1 species